rnacentral:pre_miRNA from 1 species
GGGUUCUUGUGUUGUCAAUUAGUUUGGGUUCUUUCGUUGUCAAUUAGUUUGGGUUAAAGAACCCAAACUAAUUGACAACACAUGAAC